rnacentral:lncRNA from 1 species
AAAGUAGAUGUUAAUAGAUUUUUUAAAGUAUAUUAAAGUACUUUAAAAACCUUAAGUUCAUGUUUUUUUACUUCUUGUGUAUUACUUUAUCUUUGUUUAAUGUUUACAUAGUUAUACAAACAUUCCUAGUGUUAGCUUGUCUUUUUAAAAGUAUUUUAAAAUGUUUUGUGUAAUCAUACAAUUUUUUUGUUAUCUUUAGUCCAAUCUACACAGCCUACCACUGCUGCAUCUUCAUCUGGAACAAGUGUUCCAUCUACAUCGGCUACAACUGGUUGGAGUGGGUAAUUCAUCCUUUUACAUGACAAAAUUGAUACACAGACGCAUCUUGUAAUGGGCGGAAGGGGGCGGCAUACGCCCUCUUUCAUAAAAGCAAUUUAUACACCAAUAGUUAAUAUUUUUUUAAGUGUUGAAAUAUAUUUUUUAUUUUUUGUAAUAAAUUUAAUCAUUUUAGUAAA